rnacentral:tRNA from 1 species
GCGGGUGUGGUGAAAUUGGUAUACACGCCAGAUUUAGGAUCUGGUGCAGCAAUGCGUGAAGGUUCGAGUCCUUUCACCCGCA